rnacentral:rRNA from 1 species
UACGAAGGGGGGCUAGCGUUGCUCGGAAUCACUGGGCGUAAAGGGUGCGUAGGCGGGUCUUUAAGUCAGAGGUGAAAUCCUGGAGCUCAACUCCAGAACUGCCUUUGAUACUGAGGAUCUUGAGUUCGGGAGAGGUGAGUGGAACUGCGAGUGUAGAGGUGAAAUUCGUAGAUAUUCGCAAGAACACCAGUGGCGAAGGCGGCCCCACUGGAUCGGUACUGACGCUGAGGUGCGAAAGCGUGGGGAGCAAACAGG